UGAAGAGUUUGAUCAUGGCUCAGAUUGAACGUUGGCGGCAGGCCUAAGACAUGCAAGUCGAGCGGAAACGACACCUUCGGGUGGGCGUCGAGCGGCGGACGGGUGAGUAACGCGUAGGAAUCUACCCAGUAGCGGGGGAUAGCCCGGGGAAACUCGGAUUAAUACCGCAUACGCCCUACGGGGGAAAGGUGGCCUCUUCUUGAAAGCUACCGCUAUUGGAGGAGCCUGCGUUGGAUUAGCUAGUUGGUGGGGUAAUGGCCUACCAAGGCGACGAUCCAUAGCUGGUCUGAGAGGACGAUCAGCCACACUGGGACUGAGACACGGCCCAGACUCCUACGGGAGGCAGCAGUCGGGAAUAUUGGACAAUGGGCGCAAGCCUGAUCCAGCCAUGCCGCGUGUGUGAAGAAGGCCUUAGGGUUGUAAAGCACUUUCAGGAGUGAAGAAAAGCGAGGGGUGAAUAAUUUCUCGUCUUGACGUUAGCUUCAGAAGAAGCACCGGCUAACUCCGUGCCAGCAGCCGCGGUAAGACGGAGGAUGCAAGUGUUAUCCGGAAUUACUGGGCGUAAAGCGUCUGUAGGUGGUUUAGUAAGUCGAUUGUUAAAGCUUGGGGCUUAACUCCAAAACAGCAAUGGAAACUGCUAGACUUGAGUAUGGUAGAGGUAAAAGGAAUUUCCAGUGGAGCGGUGAAAUGCGUAGAUAUUGGAAAGAACACCGAUGGCGAAGGCAUUUUACUGGGCCAUAACUGACACUCAGAGACGAAAGCUAGGGUAGCAAAUGGGAUUAGAUACCCCAGUAGUCCUAGCUGUAAACGAUGGAUACUAGAUGUUGCACGUAUCGACCCGUGCAGUGUCAUAGCUAACGCGUUAAGUAUCCCGCCUGGGAAGUAUGCACGCAAGUGUGAAACUCAAAGGAAUUGACGGGGGCCCGCACAAGCGGUGGAGCAUGUGGUUUAAUUCGAUGCAACGCGAAGAACCUUACCAGCCCUUGACAUCUUCGGAACUUGGUAGAGAUACCUUGGUGCCUUCGGGAACCGAAUGACAGGUGUUGCAUGGCUGUCGUCAGCUCGUGUUGUGAAAUGUUUGGUUAAGUCCUUUAACGAGCGCAACCCUCCUUUUUAGUUGCUAAUAAGAUACUCUAGAAAUAGAUUUACGAUGAGUAAAUGGAAGAAGGAUGACGUCAAGUCCUCAUGGCCCUUACGGGUAGGGCUACACACGUGCU
rnacentral:rRNA from 1 species